rnacentral:rRNA from 1 species
GAUGAACGCUGGCGGCGUGCCUAAUACAUGCAAGUCGAGCGAACAGACGAGGAGCUUGCUCCUCUGACGUUAGCGGCGGACGGGUGAGUAACACGUGGAUAACCUACCUAUAAGACUGGGAUAACUUCGGGAAACCGGAGCUAAUACCGGAUAAUAUAUUGAACCGCAUGGUUCAAUAGUGAAAGACGGUUUUGCUGUCACUUAUAGAUGGAUCCGUGCCGCAUUAGCUAGUUGGUAAGGUAACGGCUUACCAAGGCGACGAUGCGUAGCCGACCUGAGAGGGUGAUCGGCCACACUGGAACUGAGACACGGUCCAGACUCCUACGGGAGGCAGCAGUAGGGAAUCUUCCGCAAUGGGCGAAAGCUUGACGGAGCAACGCCGCGUGAGUGAUGAAGGUCUUCGGAUCGUAAAACUCUGUUAUUAGGGAAGAACAAAUGUGUAAGUAACUAUGCACGUCUUGACGGUACCUAAUCAGAAAGCCACGGCUAACUACGU